AACGAACGCUGGCGGCAUGCCUAACACAUGCAAGUCGAACGAGACCUUCGGGUCUAGUGGCGCACGGGUGCGUAACGCGUGGGAACCUGCCCUUAGGUUCGGAAUAACUCUCCGAAAGGGGUGCUAAUACCGGAUAAUGUCUUCGGACCAAAGAUUUAUGGCCUUUGGAUGUACCCGCGUUGGAUUAGCUAGUUGGUAGGGUAAAAGCCUACUAAGGCGACGAUCCAUAGCUGGUCUGAGAGGAUGAUCAGCCACACUGGGACUGAGACACGGCCCAGACUCCUACGGGAGGCAGCAGUGGGGGAUAUUGGACAGUGGGCGAAAGCCUGAUCCAGCAAGGCCGCGAGAGUGAUGAAGGCCUUAGGGUUGUAAAGCUCUUUUACCCGGGAUGAUAAUGACAGUACCGGGAGAAUAAGCUCCGGCUAACUCCGUG
rnacentral:rRNA from 1 species